UAGGGAAUCUUCGGCAAUGGACGAAAGUCUGACCGAGCAACGCCGCGUGAGUGAAGAAGGUUUUCGGAUCGUAAAACUCUGUUGUUAGAGAAGAACAAGGACGUUAGUAACUGAACGUCCCCUGACGGUAUCUAACCAGAAAGCCACGGCUAACUACGUGCCAGCAGCCGCGGUAAUACGUAGGUGGCAAGCGUUGUCCGGAUUUAUUGGGCGUAAAGCGAGCGCAGGCGGUUUCUUAAGUCUGAUGUGAAAGCCCCCGGCUCAACCGGGGAGGGGCAUUGGAAACGGGGAGACUUGAGUGCAGAAGAGGAGAGUGGAAUUCCAUGUGUAGCGGUGAAAUGCGUAGAUAUAUGGAGGAACACCAGUGGCGAAGGCGGCUCUCUGGUCUGUAACUGACGCUGAGGCUCGAAAGCGUGGGGAGCAAACAGG
rnacentral:rRNA from 1 species